rnacentral:sRNA from 1 species
CAGAAGAACAAAUGUGGGCUGCCGAUGGAAUUAUGCGAAAUGUGGGCCUAUCAAAAAUCCCCAAAAUUACUAACGAAAUUGCUGAUGAAUUAGAGCUGGUUCCCUGCCUAAUGAUAAGAAUGCCAAAUGUCAUGUUUACUGCAUUUUGGAAAUGAUGCAAACGAAGAAGUAGGGUACAUUCUUGUAUGAAGCUUCUUUGAAGCAAGUCGAUGUCCUCAUUCACGAUGACUAUAAAGAUGAACACAAAGCUGGAUUGACAGCAUGCAAGGAUGCAUCCGUUGGGGUUAAGAACAAUUGCGAAGCGGCGGGAUUCGAUUUCAAUUAAAAAAUUGAUUCAAUAAUUUUUUUAGUUGAAAGAAAAAUUGGGUUCUUUUUGACCAACUACACCUGCUGACCAUUAAAUGUAACUAAAGUAUAA